UGUUUGUUUACCUUUUCGAAGGCGGCGGACUCAACAUGACGCGGAGGGAGGAACUUCGCUUUCUCUGUGAAAACAGGAAAAAAACGCAUUUAGAGUUUGUGUUUCACGCUUUCCCCAAGAGGUGAACAGAGAAGAGUUGUGCACAUCUCGGUAGAAACUACAGGGUACGCAGUGUCCACGUCUCAUCUGGAAAUUAUACUAAUGGAAACUCAGAUUCUAGACUUCUUCCUCAUGCCUCCCCAGACCAAGACCUUAGCUAGAACGUCUACUAUAGACAUGCAAGCCAAGGGUCUGAAAAUGUAGACAUAAACAAGGAACUCUGGCUGCAGAAGGGUGUUUUGGACUUAGUCUCUAUGCGGCACAUAGCGCUGCAUUUUUUUUUCCAUGUAACGGUUGAAUGGUGGCAGCUAUCUUUCCAUGAUUGUGUGGCAGCGUCACCUAAGGAUACGCGAGGGUGUUGAAUAAACUGGUACAGCAGCCUCUUGUAUCACUUCUCCUGAGGACAGAGUCUACACCGCAAGAGACUUGAUGAUACAAUUCAACACGUUUUAUUUCAAGGCGGAGGAACUCAUCAAGGUUGAAAAAACUGGUACAGCAGCCUCACGUAUCACAUCCCCUGAGGACAGAUUCUACACACCAAGACACUUGAUGAUACAAUUCAACACGUUGCAUUUCAAGAUGGAGGAGCUAAUCAAGGUUGAAUAAACUGGUACCGCAGCCUCGAGGAUGGCUUCCCCUGAGGACUGAUUUUACAUCCCAAGACACUUGAUGAUACAGAUAGGGCGCAGCAGAUGGCCAGCAGCGCAACGGCGGCGAGAGCGACGACGCCGACCAAGAUGAAGAACUGUUUCAUCAAGGCGACUUUUAUUUCUAAGAGGAUCCGGAGAACCGAUGCUGCUCGCUCAAGGCAUUCGUGCUGCCGCUGGAGCGUGAGGAUUCGCGGUUCAUACCACACUGGGGGGAGCUCGCAGUGGGUGGCGUCGAUGGCGUCGGGACGGAGCCAGCGGGGGAUCGUCUUUGACGCGUAAAUUAGGUAGGAGCGGUGCCUUUCGAUGGCGUGCACCUUCUCCUAGCACAUGUGCUAGUAUGUAACGAAUAACAGUGCCGCGAGAAAGAAGCCGCACAGGCUAGCAACGCGGUAAGUGCACAUGGUGACGUUUUCGUCGCCGCCGCGGAUGGAGGUGGAGUGAUGGUAGGCAGGUUGUGUAUUAAAUUUGCCUUUCUGUGUGUGUGUGUGUUUGUGCUUGUGUGAUGGUGUUUUUUUUUAUUUGUUUGUAUUUUUGUGUUUGCCUGUGUGUGGGUGUGGGUGUGAAAAUAUUUUAAAAUGUGUUGGACAUCCAUUUCGAGGCUAGAGAUCUGUUGAAAGUGAGCCGACCAAAAAAUGUAUUCUCUUAAAUAAACCAAUAUUUGUA